GAGGGUUUUGAGCACUAUCGUUGUGACCGGAACAUUUCAAUGGGCAUGAACCUUACUAACAUGGCGAAAAUGCUCAAAUGUGCUGGAAAUGAUGACAUCAUCACCAUCAAGGCUGACGAUGGCAGUGACACCGUCACUUUCAUGUUUGAAAGCCCCACCCAAGACAAGAUUGCUGAUUUUGAGAUGAAGCUAAUGGACAUUGACAGUGA
rnacentral:misc_RNA from 1 species